rnacentral:tRNA from 1 species
GGAGAGGUACCCAAGAGGCCGAAGGGGCGGGUUUGCUAAACCUGUAGUGGGACGAAAGUUCCAGCGAGAGUUCGAAUCUCUCCCUCUCCGCCA